AAAAAUAAUACUUGAUUUGGGAAUCCACCUCCUCCCACUGAAGUAAGGAGAACAAAUUUUAAACACUUUGGUAGAAACACUUCCUUAUUGCUUGGUGACCUUAAAGGCAAGCCAUGGGUUUCUACUCUACAGAGAGCGGACAUGUGUAACUCACGAGAUGUCAUCCUGGGAAGAGGAUCUGUGACAUGUGGAGAUGUGGCUUCUACAAAAUCCCCAUGGCGAACUGAGUUUGUUCCAAAUGAAGCAUCGAAAAUAUUCUUCUACGGCACAAUCUAUGGCACAACCUGGAAACACCAUCAACUCUGUCACCUGCAUGUGAAUGAACAACCUGGGGAAGAAGACACGAGUUUCCUCUCCACCUCUCACCCGCCAGCUCCCCUGCACUGUUGGGGGUGACAGCUCCCACCGCCCAUCGUGGGUCUCCUCUGCCUGCAGAAGGGAGAUCGGAAGCAGGAUCUGAGUUACCAUUUGCUUCUAAAUUCUUCCUAUUCUCAAUUUGGUUUGCAGAGAAAAUUAGGGCUGAAAUUGAAAGUGGAACUUGUUCUAGAAUUUCCCAGAUUUUCUUUGAUUUGUUUAGUUAGUAGUUAGUUAUUUGUAGCACUGGAAAUUGAAUCCAGAGCCUUCUCACUGAGCUACAACCCCAGUUCUUUUCUUAUUUUUUAUUUUGGGACAGAGUCUGGCUAAGGUGCUCAGUUGCCCAGGCUGGGCUCCAACUUACAAGCCUCCUGCCUCAGCCUCCUAGAUUGCUUGGCUUACAAGCAUAGGCUCUUAUCCCUAGUUUUCCUUUGAGUGGCUGUGUCAAUAAAAAUACAAGAGCUUUUUAUACCGCUCAACCCUAAAAGCAGUUCUCCUUCUGGUCCAAACCAAAAGGAUCAGGAAAGAGAAAGAGUAAAUAAAGAAUACAACUGAAGUGUUGGGCAUGGUGGCACACACCUGUGAUCCCAGGACUCAAGAGGCUGAGCUAGGAGGAUUGCUGUCAGUUCAAGGCCAGCUGGGCUCCAUAGUGAGUUCAGGGCAGCCUGAAUCUCCCGUGUGGGAUAAUAAGUCCAUUUUUGUUGUAUUUUCUUUAAUAAAAACAAUAACAAAGUCCGAAGGAGUCAAAACAAAAUAAUUGAAAGGAUUAAAGUUGAGUUAUUCCCACGCAAAAUUUCUCUUAAGUCAGAAUGCUCUACGAUCAGAUCAGUACUAUAGCGCAACAAUUACAUACAAGCAAACAGAUUACAAAAAUAUAAUUAUCUAUUGGAUCAUCUGGGAGAACUGUGCUCAUUUUGCUUUAAUACAUUUUUUCUUUUUCUUUUUCUUAAGUUUCUUCUUUGUAGUAGACAUUCUGUAGCCAAUGCCUGAAUCUCAUUCAUCUUUGUGCCUUAAAUUCCUGUAACAAUACCCAUCAUGUUUGACGUUCAGUAGAUAUUUGUUGAAGGAAUAGACAGUCAUUAUUAUAUUGGAAUUGUGUAGCAGAACAACAUCUAUAACUGAAAAUGGCUUUAAAUAAAAUCAGAAAACAAACAUCAGAAGGUCAACUUUGGCUGUUUACGCAGGUCUUCUUUUCAGAGUAAAUCCUUUAAACUCUGUCGUGGUCAGAAUGGAUGCCUGGGAAUCAGAGUCCAAUAUGAUUUGCAAAUAGAUUCAGGAGAAUCAUGUGUAGCGGAUAAGGAAGCUAGUCAUUCAUAUGGUUUCCAUAUCAGAGGCUUCUAGGAAGUGGGGAGACUGGUUUAUGAUCUGUAUCCUUCUCUGAAAUGCCACUGUGAACAUCACGGUUGGGAAAUAGGGGUGUUGAACCAAGAAAAGAGGUAACGCUGGGGUGAAAUGGUACAAAGAUGUGUCAUUGCAUCUCAGUUGAAGCUAAAGUUGCCCAGCAAGCACGUUUUCUGUUUUGAAUCUGAAAAUUCAGAGUGAAACUUGGGUUAGACAUGAGUCACUGGGCGACAGGAACCCGAGUGGUUCUCACGGCUCUUAGAAGCCUAAAUUAGGACACGGUUUGGCCUGUUGGCCCCUGACUUGAUGAGUGACCCAGGCAUGGAAUGUGCUUGCAGAGCAUAAUAAGGCUGUGUGGCCAACCUGGGCUACUUCACAUAUUUAUUCAUUUAUUCAGAAAACCAUUGUUUGAUGGACUGAACUUGUAACUGUGAGUGAAAGGCAAUCCCUAUAUAAGGAGCUUGGAGGGAAGAUGAGAUAAAUAAAUGGAUCAUUAAACACAAAGAGUGUGCUACUUCUUGUGAUAAAUACAAAUAGAAGAUGCUGAGAGAAUACAUAAGAAGGAGACAUACCUGAGUCCUGGGGGUGAAGAGCCUAGG
rnacentral:lncRNA from 1 species